CGUGCAGGUGGAUUGUUAAGUCACUUAUGAAAGCUCCUGGCUAAACUGGGAGAGGUUAAGUGAAACUGCCAAUCUAGAGUGGAUGAGAGGUAAGUAGAAUUCCUUGUGUAGUGGUGAAAUGCGUAGAUAUAAGGAAGAAUACCAGUGGCGAAGGCGACUUACUGGCAUCCAACUGACAUUCAGACGCGAAAGCAUGGGUAGCGAACG
rnacentral:rRNA from 1 species